CCCCUAGACGUUCUGGGCUGCACGCGCGCUACAAUAAUACGCACAGCGAGUAUCACCGAGCUCGAAAGGGCAAGGUAAACAAUAGAAAAGGUACUGUAAUGGUUAUAGAUCCUUGUAAUUAUUGAUCUUCAACGAGGAAUUCCUAGUAAGUAUGUGUCAUCAUCACGCACUGAUUACGUCCAUGCCCUUUGUACACACCGCCCGUCGCUCCUACCGAUUGGGUGAGCCGAUGAAACUCUCGGAUGUAGGCUAUUCAUAGCCCGCAGAAGAGAUUUGAAUCGUAGCGCUUAGAGGAAGGAGAAGUCGUAACA
rnacentral:rRNA from 1 species